UACAGAGACUGCAAGCGUUAUUCGGAUUCACUGGGCGUAAAGGGUGCGCAGGCGGCCAAGUGUGUUAGGCGUGAAAGCCUGGGGCUUAACCCCAGAAUUGCACCUAAAACUACAUGGCUAGAGCAUUGGAGAGGGUAGCGGAAUUCACGGUGUAGCAGUGAAAUGCGUAGAUAUCGUGAGGAACACCAGAGGCGAAGGCGGCUACCUGGACAAUUGCUGACGCUCAGGCACGAAAGCAUGGGGAGCGAACAGG
rnacentral:rRNA from 1 species